AGGUGUGCGUAAUGAUGGUGGCAGGAGUGCGUAAUGCAGGGCAGUCUGGCGCCAGGGAAGAGCGGGAGCAGGGCUGACACAACUAGACAGUGACAACUGUCUGGCGUUUGGAGUUUGCGACAGAAACUACUCCCAAGUUGAGAGGUGGAUAAUGCAGAGACAGAGAGUCAGUGAAACAACUCCACACAAGAUGAAGCAUUGGGGAUUCAUGUGCUAGCUACAGAAAGCAUUCACACGCCUGGACUUUUUCCACAUUUUGUUGUUACAAAGUGGGGUGAAAAUGGAUUUAAUUGUCAUAUUUUGCCAACGAUCUACACAAAAUACAAUGCAAUGUCAAAGUUACUUUUUUAUAAUUAAUGUUAAAUACAUCACUAAUAUAUCCUGAUUAGAUGAGUAUUUAUCCCCCUGAUUCAAUACAUGUUAGAAUCACCUUUGGCAGCAAUUACAGCUGUGAGUCUUUCUGGGUAAGUGGAGCAUCUUGCAUCUGGAGCAAAGACUUUGCACACCUGGAUCUUUGCACACCUGGAUUGUACAAUAUUUACACAUUAUUCUUAAAAAAAUAUUAUUGAAGCUCUGUCAAGUUAGUUUUUGUUCAUUGCUAGACAGCCAUAGAUUGUCAUACAUUUUCAAGACGAUUUAAGUCAAAACUGUAACUAGGCCACUGUUUUAGGUAAUUUCCUGCUGAAAGAUGAAUUUGUCUAGUUUCCCUUUAGGAUUUUUGCUUGUGCUUAGCUCUAUUCCAUUUCUUUUAAUCCUAAAAAACACCUUAGUCCUUGCUGAUGACAAGCAUAGCCAUAACAUGACGCAGCCACCAACAUGCUUGAAAAUAUGAAGAGCGGUACUCCGUGAUGUGUUGUGAUCGAUUUGCCCCAAACAUAACGCUUUUGAAUUCAGGCCAAAAAGUUAAUUUCUUUGCCCAAUUUUUGACAGUAUUACUUUAGUGCCUUAUUGCAAACAGGAUGCAUGUUUUUGAAUGUUUUUGUAUUAUGUACAGGCUUCCUUCUUUUCAAUCUGUCAUUUAGGUUAGUAGUGUUUAGUAACUACAAUGUUGUUGAUCCAUAAUUAAUAACUGCACCAUGCUCAAAGGGAUAUUCAAUGUCUGCCUUUUUUUAACCAUCUACCUAUAGAUGCCUCUCUUUGAACCAUUGGAAAGCCUCUGUUUUUUUUGUGGUUGAAUAUGUGCUUCAAAUUCUCUGCUUGACUGAGGGACCUUACAAUUAUCUGUAUGUGUGGUGUACAGAGAUGGGGUAGUUGUUUAAAAAUAAUGUUAAACAUUAUUAUUGCACGCAGGUUGAGUCCAUGCAACUUAUUUUGUGUAUUGUUAAGCACAUUUUUACUCCUGAACUUAUUUAGGCUUGCCAUAACAAAAGGGUUGAAUACUUAGUGGCUCAAGACAUUUCAGCUUUUCAUGUUUCAGUAAUUUUGUACACAUGUAUAAAAACAUAAUUCCACUUUGACAUUAUGGGGUAUUGUGUGUAGAUCAGUGACACAUAAUCUCAAUUUAAUCUAUUUUACAUUCAGGCUGUAACACAACAAAAUGUGGAAUAAGUCAAGGUGUCUGAAUACUUUCUGAAGGCACUGUAAAUUAUAACAGUACUAACUUACAUUGGCUGGGGUCUAUUCAUAGGCAGUUGAAGCUCCAAACCUCAAGGAUACACUGCAGGAAAAAUAUAUAAUUAUUUACUGUAGAAAUAAUCUAGCUAGCUAGUUAUAUUGCUGUCAGAGAAACCACAGAUAGAACAAGAAGCUAGUUAUAAAAAAUAUUUGGAGAAACCCAGACCACAUCAUAAAGCUAGCUAGCUGCUGUAGUAACAAGCAACACAUUGCUUGGCAAGCAUAAUUUAACUUUGAUUAGCUUUGGAAAUUCAAUUAUAUCUAACACAUGCAUCACAUACUAACUCAGAUCUUUAACAUCCAAAACCAUUCUGACCUUGGAAAGUCACAGUGAAUGUUGUGGUAGCAAGCUAAAUAAGGAGCUAGCUAGCAAACUAGCUGUGUUAGCUAGCUUGGUGAAAAUUUUAACAGCCUGCAAGCAAGAGUUAUCUUCUUCCUUUGUCACUCGCCAGGUGAAAAACAUAUUUUAAAUGAAUGUUAUGAAUAUAAAAUCAAAUUAAAUCCCAUUAUCCAUGAAAAAUAAAAACAUAUCUUUGGAGGUGACAGCUGCUCUGUCAGUUGAGGGCGGGGCUGGCAGCUAAUUUUUACUAUGUUUCAUAAGUGGCAGGUAGGCUAUACCUCAGCUGCAAAAUGUGUUUUCAACUACAACUCAAUGAUCUAACUUUUGCAUGCAAACCCCACUUUGGAAACCUAUGCUAAGGUACCAGAGGUCAAAAGACUCAACAUUAUCAUCAGGGUAGAGAAUGUGUAUUUUAGACAUAUAUUUAAAAGCGAAGAAAGAGUAUUGUGAAUUAUUUCAUUUGUAUGAUAUGGUGUGACACCAAAGAAUGGCACUUGUAUGAUACUGUAAAUAAAGGUGCUGUUUAUAUCCAUA
ensembl:lncRNA